GCCUCGGCUAUUAAAGAUUAAUUAAGAAAAUGAAAUAACAUAACGAGGACAAAUCAAAUGUAAGUUUAUACCUUGAAAUCAAGUUUUUGAAUGGCCAGCUGUUCAACGUAAAAAUUCCUUCCACUCUGGUUGAGCUGGAAAUAAAAUUUUAAAAAAACUUAAGCGAAAAAUUCUUAUAAAUUUCAAUGGGAAAUCAGUUAAAUAUCGAAGCACUGCUGAAAUGAAAAAUAGCGAUGAUAUGUAUUGUGAGGAUCUAUAUUCUCAAUCGAUUGUUAAAGAACAUCUUACGUGUGCAGUGAUUUGUGGCGAAGAUCCAACUGGAGUUUGUCUACAUUGCAACAUCAAAAAUGUUCACUUACUUUGUUUAUUAUCUGCUCGACGUCUGGGCCAAUGCGAAGCAUUCUACUCUACAUGGAAAAAGUAUAUGCAACAAACCAGCAUAGGUUACUCUAAAUUAAAUGACCUGGUAAUCAAAUUUCAAGAGCAACGAUAUUUAUUCUACUUACACUAGCAUUUAAUGGUCGGUUAAACUUUUGAAAAAAUCCAGCCAGCGUCGAAUUCAAGUAUUUGAUGCAAGCUUGGUUGUUUUGAUGGGUAUAUUCAGAUAACGGACUCACAAUCUUUUUCAUUUGGGCCUGUGUAUAACUGGCCAUCGUUAAAGCUGUUAGUACAGUUAUUACUUUGAUCCAAAAUUUACGCUCUGCCAUCGCUAUUUCAGGUUUACCUACCACACAAAACGAAGGCAGAGAAACUUAACAUUUCUUGUUUCUUGUUGGAAUUGAACAAAUUAGCUUUUCAAUUAUAUCAACUUACUUUGUGUGGGAUAUUGAAAUUUCACAGUAAUUUUCCGCCUCGCGUUUGGGUCGGGAAGGAUUUUUCAACUGCUGUACGAGCAGCGUGCUGCUCAAACGGCUGUUUAUUAACUGAAAGUUUUCUGCGUUUAGAGACGUGAUUAUUUGAUCGUGUCUGUUUCACCAACUAAAUAUUACGUUUCUCGUUCAACCACUUACAGGGUAAAGGUAUAGUUUUGCAGCUCUAAUGCAAAAGUGAGUGAACCUAACUCCAUAUCAAUAUUACUACAAGAAAAAAAAGUAUCCGAUUCCGAGUGAUAAAAGACGUCAUUGAACAAAGGUAUACCCAACUACGUCUUAAUAACAUGUCAGCUGCGUUAUGAUCGCCGCAGUUGUGGUUGGAAACCAGUCAGUUCUAUGCCGGUCGGAAAUGAUCACAUCAUGAACUUUCUUACGACUAUGAAAGAUGACGGGAAAUUUCUUCUUUAAAAUCGAAUUGCAUUUACAGAGUGUAAAAGAUAUAUGUAAGGUCGAAAAACAGACGUAAAAGAGUUGUUUGCAGUGGCAGUUCCUUGUAUCUCAUUAUAUUGCUAAGUCUGUAGAGGAUACUGAUGACGAUGGGCUAAGUCUUUAUAUGUAUACUGGUUUCGAUCAGAAAUGGAAGUCUUGCUUUUGUUUUUGCCUAUACGUGUCGUUGACCCUAUAGUCACUUACUAAUUAUCUUGGCCUUGGUUUGAUUUCUUCUUGAUUUCCAAGUUUUCCCAUAAAAAAAAGGAUGUCAAUGACUCGCAUUGGCCUUGAUCUUGGAACUGAAAUCCAUUAUCACAGGAGUUUGCAGUAUCCCUUAACGAGCAUACUACUAGGUACGGUAUAAAUACAUUUUCUCUCACUGUGUUUCAGUAUCUCCAACUUGACGGUCUAUCAUCUUAUCAAUCCUUCAAGGUUAAUCACAGCUUUUAUUUCAGUAAAAGAUGUCCAUCGCCAAUUUCGUUGUUUGCUUCUUGGCUGUUGUCAUGACCGUGGCUGGUGAGCCUACCGGAUACAGGCCAGCAAUGGCUCCUAAUUACCAGGCACCUGCUUACAAAGCUCCUACUUACAAGGCUCCUGCUUACCAGCCUCCUGCUUACCAGCCUCCUGCUUACCAGCCUCCUGCUUACAAGGCUCCUGCUUACCAGCCUCCUGCUUACAAGGCUCCUGCUUAUAUGGCCCCUACACCUUCGUAUAAGGCAGCUUCAUCUUACUAGUUUCCUGCCAAGUUAUUUAAAAUCAAAAGCUUGAAUUUCUCAAAAUAAAUUAUUUAGAUGUCUA
rnacentral:lncRNA from 1 species